AUGCAAGUCGAACGCACAGCGAAAGGUGCUUGCACCUUUCAAGUGAGUGGCGAACGGGUGAGUAACACGUGGACAACCUGCCUCAAGGCUGGGGAUAACAUUUGGAAACAGAUGCUAAUACCGAAUAAAACUUAGUGUCGCAUGACACAAAGUUAAAAGGCGCUUCGGCGUCACCUAGAGAUGGAUCCGCGGUGCAUUAGUUAGUUGGUGGGGUAAAGGCCUACCAAGACAAUGAUGCAUAGCCGAGUUGAGAGACUGAUCGGCCACAUUGGGACUGAGACACGGCCCAAACUCCUACGGGAGGCUGCAGUAGGGAAUCUUCCACAAUGGGCGAAAGCCUGAUGGAGCAACGCCGCGUGUGUGAUGAAGGCUUUCGGGUCGUAAAGCACUGUUGUAUGGGAAGAACAGCUAGAAUAGGAAAUGAUUUUAGUUUGACGGUACCAUACCAGAAAGGGACGGCUAAAUACGUGCCAGCAGCCGCGGUAAUACGUAUGUCCCGAGCGUUAUCCGGAUUUAUUGGGCGUAAAGCGAGCGCAGACGGUUUAUUAAGUCUGAUGUGAAAGCCCGGAGCUCAACUCCGGAAUGGCAUUGGAAACUGGUUAACUUGAGUGCAGUAGAGGUAAGUGGAACUCCAUGUGUAGCGGUGGAAUGCGUAGAUAUAUGGAAGAACACCAGUGGCGAAGGCGGCUUACUGGACUGCAACUGACG
rnacentral:rRNA from 1 species